rnacentral:rRNA from 1 species
GCCAGACUCCUACGGGAGGCAGCAGUGGGGGAUAUUGCACAAUGGGGGGAACCCUGAUGCAGCGACGCCGCGUGGGUGAAGGAGCGUUUCGGCGCGUAAAGCCCUAUCGGCAGGGAAGAAGGAGGACGGUACCUGACUAAGAAGCCCCGGCUAACUACGUGCCAGCAGCCGCGGUAAUACGUAGGGGGCAAGCGUUAUCCGGAUUCACUGGGCGUAAAGGGAGCGCAGGCGGCACGGCAAGUCUGGUGUGAAAACCCGGGGCUCAACCCCGGGACUGCAUUGGAAACUGCCGGGCUGGAGUGUCGGAGGGGUAAGCGGAAUUCCUAGUGUAGCGGUGAAAUGCGUAGAUAUCAGGAGGAACACCGGUGGCGAAGGCGGCCUGCUGGACUGCAACUGACGUUGAGGCCCGAAAGCGUGGGGAGCAAACAGGAUUAGAUACCCCUGUA